GAUGAACGCUGGCGGCGUGCCUAAUACAUGCAAGUCGAGCGAACAGACGAGGAGCUUGCUCCUUUGACGUUAGCGGCGGACGGGUGAGUAACACGUGGGUAACCUACCUAUAAGACUGGGAUAACUUCGGGAAACCGGAGCUAAUACCGGAUAAUAUUUCGAACCGCAUGGUUCGAUAGUGAAAGAUGGCUCUGCUAUCACUUAUAGAUGGACCUGCGCCGUAUUAGCUAGUUGGUAAGGUAACGGCUUACCAAGGCAACGAUACGUAGCCGACCUGAGAGGGUGAUCGGCCACACUGGAACUGAGACACGGUCCAGACUCCUACGGGAGGCAGCAGUAGGGAAUCUUCCGCAAUGGGCGAAAGCCUGACGGAGCAACGCCGCGUGAGUGAUGAAGGUCUUCGGAUCGUAAAACUCUGCUAUUAGGGAAGAACAAACGUGUAAGUAACUGUGCACGUCUUGGCGGUACCUAAUCAGAAAGCCACGGCUAACUACGUG
rnacentral:rRNA from 1 species